AUUGAACGCUGGCGGCAGGCCUAACACAUGCAAGUCGAACGAGUGGCGGACGGGUGAGUAAUGUCUGGGAAACUGCCCGAUGGAGGGGGAUAACUACUGGAAACGGUAGCUAAUACCGCAUACCAUCGGAUGUGCCCAGAUGGGAUUAGCUAGUAGGGGGGGUAAAGGCUCACCUAGGCGACGAACCCUAGCUGGUCUAAGAGGAUGACCAGCCACACUGGAACUGAUACACGGUCCAGACACCUAAGGGUGGAAGCAGGGGGGAAUAUUGCACAAUGGGCGAAAGCCUGAUGAAGCCAGGCCGCGUGUAUGAAGAAGGCCUUCGGGUUGUAAAGUACUUUCAGCGGGGAGGCGUUACCCGCAGAAGAAGCACCGGCUAACUCCGUGCCAGCAGCCGCGGUAAUAC
rnacentral:rRNA from 1 species